rnacentral:rRNA from 1 species
AGAGUUUGAUCCUGGCUCAGGACGAACGCUGGCGGCGUGCCUAAUACAUGCAAGUAGAACGCUGAAGAGAGGAGCUUGCUCUUCUUGGAUGAGUUGCGAACGGGUGAGUAACGCGUAGGUAACCUGCCUUGUAGCGGGGGAUAACUAUUGGAAACGAUAGCUAAUACCGCAUAACAAUGGAUGACACAUGUCAUUUAUUUUAAAGGGGCAAUUGUUCCACUACAAGAUGGACCUGCGUUGUAUUAGCUAGUAGGUGAGGUAAUGGCUCACCUAGGCGACGAUACAUAGCCGACCUGAGAGGGUGAUCGGCCACACUGGGACUGAGACACGGCCCAGACUCCUACGGGAGGCAGCAGUAGGGAAUCUUCGGCAAUGGGGGCAACCCUGACCGAGCAACGCCGCGUGAGUGAAGAAGGUUUUCGGAUCGUAAAGCUCUGUUGUAAGUCAAGAACGGGUGUGAGAGUGGAAAGUUCACACUGUGACGGUAGCUUACCAGAAAGGGACGGCUAACUACGUGCCAGCAGCCGCGGUAAUACGUAGGUCCCGAGCGUUGUCCGGAUUUAUUGGGCGUAAAGCGAGCGCAGGCGGUUUGAUAAGUCUGAAGUUAAAGGCUGUGGCUCAACCAUAGUUCGCUUUGGAAACUGUCAAACUUGAGUGCAGAAGGGGAGAGUGGAAUUCCAUGUGUAGCGGUGAAAUGCGUAGAUAUAUGGAGGAACACCGGUGGCGAAAGCGGCUCUCUGGUCUGUAACUGACGCUGAGGCUCGAAAGCGUGGGGAGCGAACAGGAUUAGAUACCCUGGUAGUCCACGCCGUAAACGAUGAGUGCUAGGUGUUGGAUCCUUUCCGGGAUUCAGUACCGCAGCUAACGCAUUAAGCACUCCGCCUGGGGAGUACGACCGCAAGGUUGAAACUCAAAGGAAUUGACGGGGGCCCGCACAAGCGGUGGAGCAUGUGGUUUAAUUCGAAGCAACGCGAAGAACCUUACCAGGUCUUGACAUCCCGAUGCUAUUUCUAGAGAUAGAAAGUUACUUCGGUACAUCGGUGACAGGUGGUGCAUGGUUGUCGUCAGCUCGUGUCGUGAGAUGUUGGGUUAAGUCCCGCAACGAGCGCAACCCCUAUUGUUAGUUGCCAUCAUUCAGUUGGGCACUCUAGCGAGACUGCCGGUAAUAAACCGGAGGAAGGUGGGGAUGACGUCAAAUCAUCAUGCCCCUUAUGACCUGGGCUACACACGUGCUACAAUGGUUGGUACAACGAGUUGCGAGUCGGUGACGGCGAGCUAAUCUCUUAAAGCCAAUCUCAAUUCGGAUUGUAGGCUGCAACUCGCCUACAUGAAGUCGGAAUCGCUAGUAAUCGCGGAUCAGCACGCCGCGGUGAAUACGUUCCCGGGCCUUGUACACACCGCCCGUCACACCACGAGAGUUUGUAACACCCGAAGUCGGUGAGGUAACCUUUUGGAGCCAGCCGCCUAAGGUGGGACAGAUGAUUGGGGUGAAGUCGUAACAAGGUA